rnacentral:lncRNA from 1 species
UUCAUUAUGUGAUGCAGGAGGAUGAGCUCGGACUGCCACCGACACCUCGAGCAUCACUCCGUAGUUAGAACCUGCAAGUAAUUUUUAUGUGCCGUUGUUCUCAACUGUUAAUGUGAUGUGAGGAGUCUUUGUGUUUGUUACUUGAGCGAUCCGUGUGAGAUGUUUAUAUCAGUGGCGCCUUUUACGGUUAAUCCGUGCGUGCAAAGUAGCUAGUAUCC